CCUACGGGCGGCAGCAGUAGGGAAUAUUGCUCAAUGGGGGAAACCCUGAAGCAGCAACGCCGCGUGGAGGAUGAAGGUUUUCGGAUUGUAAACUCCUUUUGUUAGAGGAGAUAAUGACGGUAUCUAACGAAUAAGCACCGGCUAACUCCGUGCCAGCAGCCGCGGUAAUACGGAGGGUGCAAGCGUUACUCGGAAUCACUGGGCGUAAAGCGCGCGUAGGCGGGAUAGCAAGUCAGAUGUGAAAUCCUAUGGCUUAACCAUAGAACUGCAUUUGAUACUGUUAGUCUAGAGUAUGGGAGAGGUAGGUGGAAUUCUUGGUGUAGGGGUAAAAUCCGUAGAGAUCAAGAGGAAUACUCAUUGCGAAGGCGACCUGCUAGAACAUAACUGACGCUGAUGCGCGAAAGCGUGGGGAGCAAACAGGAUUAGAUACCCUUGUAGUC
rnacentral:rRNA from 1 species